rnacentral:rRNA from 1 species
GACGGAGGAUGCAAGUGUUAUCCGGAAUCACUGGGCGUAAAGCGUCUGUAGGUGGUUUAAAAAGUCUACUGUUAAAAAUUGAAGCUUAACUUCAAAGAUGCCGUAGAAACUUUUAAACUUGAGGAUGGUAGGGGUAGAGGGAAUUUCCAGUGGAGCGGUGAAAUGCGUAGAUCUUGGAAAGACCACCAAUGGCGAAGGCACUCUACUGGGCCAUGACUGACACUAAGGAGACGAAAGCUAGGGGAGCAAAUGGG